UACAGAGGGUGCAAGCGUUGUUCGGAAUCAUUGGGAGUAAAGGGCGUGUAGGCGGUCUGUUAAGUCAUGUGUGAAAUCCCUGGGCUCAACCCAGGAACUGCGUCCGAUACUGGAAGGCUUGAAUCCGGGAGAGGGAUGCGGAAUUCCAGGUGUAGCGGUGAAAUGCGUAGAUAUCUGGAGGAACACCGGUGGCGAAGGCGGCAUCCUGGACCGGCAUUGACGCUGAGGCGCGAAAGCCAGGGGAGCAAACGGG
rnacentral:rRNA from 1 species